AUUUUUGCGCUUUGGGCAAUGACGCAGCUAAUGAGGUUCUAACCAAAGCGCGUCUAUUGCUGGUUGAAAACUAGCAUUAAUAUUAUUCUAAGAAAAAAAAAAGUUUAACAAAAU